CCUACGGGAGGCAGCAGUGAGGAAUAUUGGUCAAUGGGCGCGAGCCUGAACCAGCCAAGUAGCGUGAAGGAUGACUGCCCUACGGGGUGUAAACUUCUUGUAUAAAGGAAUAAAGUGAGGCACGUGUGCCUUUUUGUAUGUACGUUAUGAAUAAGGAUAGGCUAACUCCGUGCCAGCAGCCGCGGUAAUACGGAGGAUCCGAGCGUUAUCCGGAUUUAUUGGGUUUAAAGGGAGCGUAGAUGGGUUGUUAAGUCAGUUGUGAAAGUUUGCGGCUCAACCGUAAAAUUGCAAUUGAUACGGGCAUUCUUGCGUCCAGUUGCGUUAGGCGGAUUUCGUGGUGUCGCGGU
rnacentral:rRNA from 1 species